rnacentral:rRNA from 1 species
UCCUCAUGGCCUUUAUGUCUAGGGCUUACACACGUGCUACAAUGGUGGUACAAAGAGCAGCGUAACUCGCGAGAGUAUGGCAAAUCUCAAAAAGCCAUCCUCAGUUCGGAUUGGAGUCUGCAACUCGACUCCAUGAAGUUGGAAUCGCUAGUAAUCGCGGAUCAGCAUGCCGCGGUGAAUACGUUCCCGGGCCUU